CUGUAACAGCCGGUGCUGCUCCAUCUGACUGAUGCCAUUUCCUUGUGCGAAGCUCUUCACCUUCACCAGGUGCUCUGCGCUGUGGCAGGCCGUUGCUGCUCCAGGCGCAAUGCCUCCCGCUGGGCUCGGUGCCGUCGGGCACGGCCCUGCCCCAGAAGAACACGGGACUGCCCCUCGCAGCGCAGUCACUGAGAAAAAAAUCUCAGCUGGGCAAACAGCUCCAGGUGCUGGAGAGAAGAGCCCAGGGUGAAGGAAGAGGGCUCAUCGGCUGCUGUUUCUCUUCCCAAGUGAUGGAUCUCUUCCUAACGAGCAGGAUCCUGAUUAACUCGUUGCCUUUCACAGCACCUCACCCUGGUCCCACCUGGGGAGCAGCAGCAGAGCCUCACGAGCGCCCGGCUCCCUCCCGCAGCCAGCGCUGCUGCACUGGCACUGGCUCUGCCCAAUGAUGUCAUAGCAGAGGGAAGGGAAAAAAGGCGACUGCGAGGCUCCUGAGCAAGUACAGCAGCAAGAAACGAAGAGGUUUGGACCUCACGUGAAACUUCCAGCAAGCCACCUCAUUCGUCAGCCCUUUCUGAGGCGAAGUGCUGACGACCAGAACUUUACACGGGGCCGCUGCGAAAACUUUAAGCCUCACUCGUAGCAUUAAGACCAUUUCCAGGCGUUUUUGCCGUGAUUUCAGCUAACCGGCCCGGGUUCUUGCGGAACUAGAAGGAAGCAGGAAAAUUAACUGAGCAACUCUUUUAGCUCAUUAAUGCACGAGAAAGGUGCAAGCAGUGACCAUUGCACACAUUGCACUAAGAGCACAGGAUGUUACUCCUCUUCCAGGUAUUUUAAGAGGGCCAGAGCAUCAACUCAUUUCAUGGGAUUAGAAGUGAAAAGUAAGGGGGAGAAGGGGGGGGGAGGGGCAGAACCAACUAUGCAAAAUAGCUAAGUGAGAAAUUCCGGCUAAUUUUAAUCAAAAAACUUCAUAGACCAGUUGUAAUAUCAUGAAAAUGAUUCAAAAUGUAUUCCCGCGUGGGAGAAUGACAUUUUGAAUAUUUUCUAGAAAUCACACCGAAACUGUUACAGUUACAAGUAAUUAAAUUUAUUAGACCUCUAUAAUUUUUAUAGUCAGUUUUGGCCAAUUUACAGGUUUCUUGGGGAUCAUUUUUGGUUUAAACACACACACACA